AGUGGAAUUGCUGGGUCAAAUGGUAAGUCUGUUUAAACUUUUGGGGAACUGCCAAACUGUUUUCCAAAGCGGCUGCACCAUUUUACAAUUCCACCAGUAAU
rnacentral:pre_miRNA from 1 species